AUUGAACGCUGGCGGAAUGCUUUACACAUGCAAGUCGAACGGCAGCACGGACUUCGGUCUGGUGGCGAGUGGCGAACGGGUGAGUAAUGUAUCGGAACGUGCCCAGUCGUGGGGGAUAACGUAGUGAAAAUUACGCUAAUACCGCAUACGAUCUAUGGAUGAAAGCGGGGGAUCGCAAGACCUCGCGCGAUUGGAGCGGCCGAUAUCAGAUUAGGUAGUUGGUGGGGUAAAGGCCCACCAAACCAACGAUCUGUAACUGGUCUGAGAGGACGAACAGCCACACUGGAACUGAGACACGGUCCAGACUCCUACGGGAGGCAGCAGUUGGGAAUUUUGGACAAUGGGCGAAAGCCUGAUCCAGCCAUUCCGCGUGCAGGAUGAAGGCCCUCGGGUUGUAAACUGCUUUUGUACAGAACGAAAAGGUUUCUACUAAUACUAGGAGCUCAUGACGGUACUGUAAGAAUAAGCACCGGCUAACUACGUGCCAGCAGCCGCAGUAA
rnacentral:rRNA from 1 species